UGCAGUCGAACGGUGAAAGAGGAGCUUGCUCCUCUGGAUCAGUGGCGAACGGGUGAGUAACACGUGAGUAACCUGCCCCAGACUCUGGGAUAAGCACUGGAAACGGUGUCUAAUACCGGAUACGAGCUUCAGCCGCAUGGCUAGGAGCUGGAAAGAAUUUCGGUCUGGGAUGGACUCGCGGCCUAUCAGCUAGUUGGUGAGGUAAUGGCUCACCAAGGCGACGACGGGUAGCCGGCCUGAGAGGGUGACCGGCCACACUGGGACUGAGACACGGCCCAGACUCCUACGGGAGGCAGCAGUGGGGAAUAUUGCACAAUGGGCGCAAGCCUGAUGCAGCAACGCCGCGUGAGGGACGACGGCCUUCGGGUUGUAAACCUCUUUUAGUAGGGAAGAAGCGAAAGUGACGGUACCUGCAGAAAAAGCACCGGCUAACUACGUGCCAGCAGCCGCGGUAAUACGUAGGGUGCAAGCGUUAUCCGGAAUUAUUGGGCGUAAAGAGCUCGUAGGCGGUUUGUCGCGUCUGCUGUGAAAACUGGAGGCUCAACCUCCAGCCUGCAGUGGGUACGGGCAGACUAGAGUGCGGUAGGGGAGAUUGGAAUUCCUGGUGUAGCGGUGGAAUGCGCAGAUAUCAGGAGGAACACCGAUGGCGAAGGCAGAUCUCUGGGCCGUAACUGACGCUGAGGAGCGAAAGCAUGGGGAGCGAACAGGAUUAGAUACCCUGGUAGUCCAUGCCGUAAACGUUGGGAACUAGAUGUAGGGACCAUUCCACGGUUUCUGUGUCGCAGCUAACGCAUUAAGUUCCCCGCCUGGGGAGUACGGCCGCAAGGCUAAAACUCAAAGGAAUUGACGGGGGCCCGCACAAGCGGCGGAGCAUGCGGAUUAAUUCGAUGCAACGCGAAGAACCUUACCAAGGCUUGACAUAUACCGGAAAAGUUCAGAAAUGUUCUCCCCGCAAGGUCGGUAUACAGGUGGUGCAUGGUUGUCGUCAGCUCGUGUCGUGAGAUGUUGGGUUAAGUCCCGCAACGAGCGCAACCCUCGUUCUAUGUUGCCA
rnacentral:rRNA from 1 species